rnacentral:rRNA from 1 species
UACGUAGGGGGCAAGCGUUGUCCGGAUUUAUUGGGCGUAAAGAGCUCGUAGGUGGUUCGGUAAGUCGGAUGUGAAAUCUCCAGGCUCAACCUGGAGGGGUCAUUCGAUACUGCCGUGACUAGAGUUCGGUAGGGGAGUGUGGAAUGCGUAGAUAUCGGGAGGAACACCAGUGGCGAAGGCGGUUGCCUGGAGCUUUGCUGACGCUGAGGCGCGAAAGCGUGGGGAGCGAUCCGG